CUGGCCUUCCCAGCUCCUGAUGGGAGGCGGCCGGGGGCCUGCGCCGCUCCCUGGGUCAGUCCCAGUGCCGACACCUGGCUCGCAGGAAGGGUCUGCCCGGGACCCGCCACCCCGACUCGAGUGCCCCCUGCCUCGAGGCGCACGACGCGCCGCUUCGCGGCUGGGUGGACCUGGGCGGCGGCCCUGCGGCGUGCUCCCCUAGGGUCCGCCCGCAGCCCCCCCACCCCCCCGCGAGCUCGAGGCACCUCCCCCAGGACCCCCGCGCCGGCCCGCCCGGAUGCCCCCACCCCGGCGGCGCCCCAUGUACACCCACCGCGGCACCCGGCCCAGCGGCCCGGAUGGCACCCCCCCUCCCCGCACCCAUCACGCUUGCGCCCCGCACCCCGCGCCCUCUCCGGGGGCAAAUCGGCUCCAGGAGCGCGCGCGCGGACCGGCCGGGCGGCGGCGCCUUCGGAGCCCGGCACGUACCUGGUGGCCCUGGCGGGCGGGCUAGGGGAGCGCGGCGCGGGAGCGCAGGAGCCUCGGAGCCUCCGGUGCCGCCGCCGCCGCCGUUUCCGGGUUGGCGGGGCUCACGUCACCGCCACAGGUUUGCGAGCGGCCCCCACCGCAGCGGCAGCAGCAGCAGCAGCAGCAGCAGCAGCAGCAGCAGCGGCCCGGGGCGAGUGCCAGGCGAGAAAUAACUAUAAAAGGAAGAGGCGCGGCGAGGAGGAAGAGGAAGCGCUGUUUACCUUCGAGAAGCCGAGCCGCCGGCGCUCGCACAAAAGGAGGACGCUCGCCUCGCGACGCGCCUCCCCCCUGCGCCCUGUCCCCGCCGCAUCGCGGGGCCCCGGCGUCAGCGCGCGCCGCGCCCCGGGACCGCCCCGCGCCAGCCCCCACCCCAGAACCCCGCGCCCGCCUGGCCGGUACCCUCCCGAGCCGGGGCGCCGUGGGCCCGGGUCAGUGGUGACCUUGGGCAAGUCACCGCGCAGCGCGCUGCGGCUGGGGACCGUCACCCUCAUUGUGCCAGGAGGAAACCUGGCCCGGGGAGACACGGGGGUGGCCCCCAAGGUCACGGCCUGUCAGGCAGGGUUCGGCUGGAAUCCAGGUCUCCAGACCUGUGGGCCGGCCAGGUUCCCGUCCCUGGGUGGCUUCCCCCUCACCUGGACUUCAGGAAUGGUGACAGUCCCUGCCCCGCUCACCUCGCAGUGGGGUCAGUCGGAGGAUGUGCGGUCCACGCACCCGUUCAGCCCUUCCGCGGAUACUCACUGGGCCUACUAA
rnacentral:lncRNA from 13 species